rnacentral:rRNA from 1 species
AUUGAACGCUGGCGGCGUGCUUAACACAUGCAAGUCUAUCGGUAACGCGGGGGCAACCCUGGCGACGAGAGGCGGACGGGUGAGGAACGCUUGGGAAUCUGCCUAUCAGCGGGGGACAACACGGGGAAACUCGUGCUAAUACCGCAUACGCUCCACGGAGGAAAGCCGGGGACCGCAAGGCCUGGCACUGACAGAGGUGCCCAAGCCGGUUUAGCUAGUUGGCGGGGUAACGGCCCACCAAGGCGACAAUCGGUAGCUGGUCUGAGAGGACGAUCAGCCACACUGGGCCUGAGACACGGCCCAGACUCCGACGGGAGGCAGCAGUGGGGAAUAUUGGACGAUGGGGGAAACCCUGAUCCAGCGACGCCGCGUGGGUGAAGAAGGCCUGCGGGUUGUAAAGCCCUUCCGGUAGGGACGAAAGCUCUCGACCUAACACGUCGGGAGGUUGACUUAACCUACAAAAGAAGCACCGGCUAACUCUGUGCCAGCCGCCGCAGUAAGAC